rnacentral:rRNA from 1 species
CAGCAGCCACGGUAACACAGAGGAUGCAAGCGUUAUCCGGAAUGAUUGGGCGUAAAGCGUCUGUAGGUGGCUUUUCAAGUCCGCCGUCAAAUCCCAAGGCUCAACCCUGGACAAGCGGUGGAAACUACCAAGAUGGAGUACGGUAGGGGCAGAGGGAAUUUCCGGUGGAGCGGUGAAAUGCGUUGAGAUCGGAAGGAACACCAACGGUGAAAGCACUCUGCUGGGCCGACACUGACACUGAGAGACGAAAGUUAGGGGAGAAAAUGGGAUUAGAUACCCAGUAGUCCCUGUCUCUUAUACC